GUGAUGACAGUGUGUUUGUCGGUCUGACUCCAGUGGGCUGCUGCUUGGAAUCUUUUCUCCCAUCAUUUACCUGGGGGCGCCAUCGUAUUCAUCUAAGGAUCAUUUGAUAAAAAGAACGACAACUGCGGGCUUACAUCUUCUCUCCUUCAAAGACGACUGAAAGCUUAAAUCCCUUGGAAACAUCUUUACGGACAACUUUUCAUCACAAGAACGGAUUUGAAAAUAAUCUUUACCAACCGACGAUUAUGUGCGUAUGUGUCCCUACACCAGGUUCAUACACAGUUUACCAUGAAGGAGGACUUGGGAGUUUACCAACAGAAUACGAGGAAAGAAAGCUGGACAGGAGAUAAGACAGGACAAACGUUGAAGUCGUGCAUUCGCCAGACAAAGUAACUGUUGGUACACAAGCGAUGACGAUGUAUUGUGUCGUGAGUACAGGCGGCUCAACGGCUUUGCUUGCUGAACGCUCCGACGCCAUUUUACUCAUGACGUAAAACGUGACUGACGACAUAUGGGUACAAUAACGGACAAAGGAAACAGAAAGUUCUUGAAAGAUCGGUGGAUGUGCAGCAAGAGAGGGAGAAAGAUGGAGAGAUCUGCGCCAGCAACUUGUCAGGUUUGUUGUGGUUUGUACGUGUUCCAAUGAACGGUGUGGAAUUCGAUACAUUUUAAUAUGAUUAGUACUGAUUAGUAUCGAUGUGCAUUAAAGAUUUGGGGGUUAGCAUGUUAGCCGUGAAGUUGCUGUCGGUGUUGUCCUUCUCCUGCUCCUUUUCUUAAGAACGAAAACGAGGCUGCACCUAACUGGGAUGACAGCUCUACGGCUCCACAACUAUUUCUUUAUUUAUUUGGUUAUUACUGCACUUGAUAUGCAGUUUGUCCUGUAUGUUCAUCAUUGACUGAGUUUUACUUUCUGCUGUGUUUUUGUAAGCGUCAUUAGGAAUCAUGUAGAGUUUUCUUCUUCAACAAUUCUUCAGCGCGUGUCCAGUGUCAGCCAUUACUUUAUCAGUUUUGACGUACAUACGGAAACCACAUUAACUUCUCGUUGGAAUAUCUUUCAAGAGAGUAAUUAUUUUAAUCAUGACUGUCUUUGUUGUACACAACAAUUAUUCUGGUUUCACUUCAUCUCUCCAACUCCUUUCCUUGUUUCAAAAUCGACUGUUUGAUCUACAACUACUAUUUUGCUUCUUUAGUACAAAUCUAGAAAAUUCUGCGCUGCGCGUCAUCAUUGUCGUCAUAUUCGCAGUUGCGUCAUUCAUAUUUCAUUUCGCUUUGACUUUAACUUUCUGUUUCAAUCUCUCUGCAGUUUUACUUUCAGUUCUAGAAAGAUAAGUCGAUGGACAGCAAGAUAUAUAAAUAUAUAUAUAAAGCUGAUGCUGAAG